UGCGGCCCGUGGACCGGGGACACAGAAGACACUGCUACGCCUCUAGCACCUAGCACAAUGCCUGGUCAGGGAAUGCAGGAAUGAACAGUGUUUGCCGCGGAAUCCAGAAUCUCCAGCACUGGCAGCUCCAUCCGCGUGACCGAACCCUGUCCUUCUCCAUCUUACACAGGGGAUUCUGGGCUGCUGUGAGGUCGGGCUUGGCCACAUCCAUCUCCACGUGGACCUGCUGCUGAGCCAGCUGCUCCUGGAGCUCCCGCACCUCCUGGCCAGGGGCUUCAGUGUCCUCCUCUGUGAAAAGGAGAUAACACUGGAAUGGUCCCUAUCUCACACGGCUGUAGUGAAGAAAAACAGGAGGCAACAAGGCCUAUUGUAAUUCUCAGGUGCCCAGGUCCUGCGCCAGAUUGUCCCUCUCCACCUCGAGCCGGGCGCUGUUGGCGGAAGCGCACCUUCUCGAUGUAGCUGGCGAAGCGGUCAUUGAGCUCCAUCAUCUCCGCCCGCUCACUGGCCCGGGUCUCCUUGAAGCUGGAGUUGAGCGCCCCGGCCAAGGAGAAGUCCACCCGGGCCGGGAGUGCAGGCGGCAUUCGAGCCAGGGACAGGCGGGUGCCAGGACCCAGGCGGCGGCCCCCCACCCCCAUCUCUGAGGAGGAGACAUAGGAGCGGCGAGCCACUGAGGUGACCCGUCUCCUCUCCAUCCUGUCCUGGCUCUGCCUGCUCCUGGGAUGUGCUGGCUUUAUGGAGGAGGACCUGGCCUGGCCCGGCCCAGGCUGCCCCUGGCAACACCCCCUGGCAUAGCCUAAGUGGGUGGGGCUGGGCCGCAGCCCAGCCAUGGGGAGAGUGCCUCUCAUGCCCACCGAGGUCACUGUGCCCAGAGACAGGGCCUCCUGAGCAUGCCAGCCCCAGCCUGGCUCCAGACAGAGGUGCUAGUGGGCAGUUCCUGGGGCCGAUGCUGCGUCUGGGGCCCUGACCACUGGACAAGGAGACCCUUUCACUGGGACGGUGGGUCAAGGAAGGGCUGGACCAGAUGACCUCUGACCUGUCUUCUAACUUUUAGAUCCUAUGACCCAGGCCUUUCCUCACUCAGCAUUCUCAGGCACACUGAGUGCCUGUUAGAUGCUGGGAAUCUGGUGGAAGACAAACCUGUUCCACAUCUUCAAGGAACAGCCUAUGUUACAGUUUCCUGCCAGCCUCAUUCCCAACAGAUUCCUGGAGUCCUCCCCUCUGAAUACAGGUGUUCUGCAUUCCUGCUUUCUCCCCAUCUGCAGGUGCGGGGCUGUGGGCCGGAAUUAGAACCCGCCCUUUGUCUGGAGGGUCAGUCAAUUGAGGCCUAUGUCUAGCAGUGGGGGAAUGAUGGAAGGAACGUGGAGCCCCUUACAGGGUCACACCGUGAUGCACAUCUGCCUCAGGCAGACACAGCUCCCGGCCUCCACCUCUACCCGCCUCCUCCCAGCCUGACUCAGGCCCCAUUCUCUGUGGCGCCUCCUCUCCUGCUUCCCCAAUCUGAGGGCCUCAUCAUCCAAAGCCUUGGGCCAGUUCCUAGACUGACUUCCGGACUAGACGGCAGAACGCUGCGGGUCCCAAGAAGAGGAUGCCUGGACACCCUUCCACACGGCCUUCGGCCAAGCUGCGCCCCACUGCAAGCCGAGUUGGGGACAAGAUGACCUCCCACUCCCUGUGCCCAUCUUCUACGUCAGAACUUGCCAGGAUGCCCUCCUGCCUACAAGGCCCAAGUUGAUCCCAGGAUAGAUCAACACGUCACCCGGCCUCAACCUGCACGCAAGGUGCCCAGUGUUUUCCAAACCUGCCAGCCUCUAAUUCAAGGGGCCCUUUUGUCCCUUGACUGCUGCCCACUGACUCCGCUUGUGCUCCUGCCACUCUCCCAGUGCCUGGCACAGCACGGUGAUCAACAAGAAUGAGUGGGAUGGAGAGAACAUGGAUCUCUGACCAGUCCGUCCGCUCAGUGACCCAUCUCUGAGGAAGGAAACUGGCCACUAGAUGGCAGUGCUGAGCUGACCAGGUCCGAGUGGCCUGGUGGACAUAGCCCUUUGGAGGCAGGAAGAAAGUUGGUCUCACAGCUCUAGGCAGGCUUUCUAAAACCCAAAUGUGCGUCACUUAGAAGGCUCACUAGAACUGCCUCUGACUGCUGUGGCAGUGCUGUCUAGGGGAGAGAGCAAGGCCAUGGCCACUCAAUAGCUGUAUGAUCUUGGAUGACUCAGGAACCUUCUCUGAGUCUCCAUUUCCCCAUCUGUAAAAUGAGGUCUAGACAUAUUUACUUCCAAGGUAGUUGUGAGAUAAAAAUCAGUGAAAAGCCGGACACAGCAGGUGCUCGACAAAUCCUAGCUUCCAUUUAAUAACACCUGCCAGGUGCUUCACCUGUUUCCAUGUUAGCGCAUCUGUGAUGGGGUGGACCUGGGGGGCUGGGAGCUGGGUCUUCCAGGGGAGCGGCCAUGUCCUGUUGACUCCAUUGGGGUUGGGGCAGGGACAGCAUGUGGGCAGGCCCCCCCUGCAAAGGGCAGUUACCUGGCAAUGUGGACAGGAUGUGGGGAGGGGGCAGCACCCUUUGCCCCCAGAUCACUAGUUGUUUGUGGCUUUGGGUCUCCCAGGGGACAUGUGAGAGUUAUGUCCCCCUGUUCUGGAGGAGACUCAGAGUACAGGCUGUCUCCCAGCCUGCUUGCUCUCCUCCCUGACUCCCACAGUGGGCUCUGUCGCUCCAUCCUUGCCCUUCCCCAGCCCUUGUGGGCUUGAGACCCACAGCUCCAUUGGCUUGAGAACCCCUUGGUGUGUCAACAUCUCCCAUGGGUGCGAGUCUCUUCUGCACUUUAGCCUGAGGCUUCCCAAGGACAAGACCCCCUGAAGAUGGGGUCCUCCCGAUGCUAGACCUAUGUUUUCCCAUCAGACUGGGAUGCACCUAAGGGUAUGGUCUGUCUCCCCCUUCAGACUCAGGCACCCACAGGACAGGAGCUGCCCUUUCCCCUUGGAUGGGAGCCAGCUAAUGGGAGAACCCAUGGUUCACUGUCAGCUGGGAGCUCCCUGAGCGCAGGGGUCUCCCCUUUCUGUUGGAGGACGGUUGGAGGAUGGCUGCCUCCAGCCAGGGAUGGUUCCUUCUCCGGUCCUGAGCCUGUGUCCAUCCAGCUCUGUCGGCUAGAAGCGCCCGACUCCUGUGGCUGCAGAAGGGCUCCUGGCUGAACCCCUGGACUCCUUCCCCUUCGCUUCCCCAGCCCCUCAGCCGCUGGAGGCAUCAGCUCAUUCACCUUCACAGACCCAGGGGCCAGGCUGCUGUGUUGGGGUUAAUAAGCUCGGGGCCUUGCUCUACUCCUGCCUCCCCACCCAGCCAAGGGCCGCUCAAGCCUGCCCCCGGCCUCUAACCCUGAGACCAGCUCUUUAAUUGCUUUCCUUGGUCUGCUCUGCUCCCUGCUCCCUUCUGUCUCCCUGCCUGACUGUGUCCCUUUGGGAGGGUGAGAGGCGGGGACCAGAUGUGUCCCUGGAGGGAGGAGAGGGCUGACCGGUGGCCUGUUAUUUCCAAUCCAGUGGUCCUUCAAAUGGGCAGGAUGAGCCGGGGGUAGGGCUGCGGGUGAGCCCAGGGGAGCUCUGGGGUGAGCUAGAAAACACAGCCAUGGUCUCCAGGCUCUUGGGUACGACUCUGGUCCCUUCCUCCACCCACAAACUCCAUCCCAAGACUUUCUAGGUCCCUAUUCACAAAAGAACUGUGGAGAAGGGGAAGAUAGCCAGAAAUUAGACUGUCUGGGAAGCAGGAUCCCCCAAACCUAGCCAAGAGCCAAAGAGACAUUCUGGGGGAAACUGGAGGCAGAUGAGCAAGGGUCUGGGAGGCAGGAUGCCUGAGUUAGCAGCUGCCAGGGAGGAAGGAUCCCCAUGGGGUGAGGAUGUCCCCUGUGGGUGCCAAGCUGAUGGCUGGCGGUGGGAGGACCCAGUGGGAAAAGCCCAGUCCCUUCCUCUUGACACAUCCUAACACUGACGGAGGUUUGGUUUACUCUCAGGUGACAAGGACUCCAUCCUGACUCUGUGUGAAGGGACCAUGUCUUGUUCUGUGUCUGCAGCUCCUGGCACUGAGCCUGAUUCUCUGAACUGGGCAGGAAUUUGUGCCCCCGGUGUGGGGCCCAGACCUGAGCUUCGGGGCCUGGAGUGGGUGCAAAGAGCCUGGGAAGAGAGGACGUCUAAACUCCCUGAAGUAGAGGGAGGGGCUCUGCGUAGGCCCUCAAGGCGGAAGAGGCAGGCUGAAGCCGGGAGGGGGAACCUAGGGCAGUGGACGGGGGAGCCAUCUAUUGCCGCCUCUGGCGGAUGACUCUAUAUGAGAACAAUCCAAUCUCAGAGCCUCAUCACUGCCCACGGAGGUCAGCUGGGAGCCGGCCGUCAGCUCGCUGCCCCCCUCAGCCCCUGCCAGCUCCCUGGACCAGCCAGGCUGCCUCCUUGUGAGCGGCCCAUCUCAGCCCAACCUCCCGUGAUUGAGGGCAGGAGCCACGUGUGCUUAACUCCAUUGGCAGAGUCUUUGUACAUUUAAUGGGUCACCCGAGAGCACAUUUUGCACCACGGAGCCACAAAUGUUUGCUGAGCGAAUGGUCAGCUGCAGAACAUCCUUGUCAAGAGUGACCUCUUCCCCUUGCAAGCUGCCCCCAGCCCUCGUGCAACGGAGCCUGUUGGGUGAAGCUUGCCCUCCUGGCCCUGGUUACCAGCCACCUUGCCCUGUGCCUGCUGCCUCUGCGCCUGCAGGGGUGAUGGUGACGAUCAAAUGAGAUAAUAGAUGUGAGGGCCCCAGGAAAUGAGGAACUUAUUCAAUUUGGAUCCAACCAGCAUGCGGCGAGGUCUCCUGAGGUCAAAGGUACCACACCAAGCCGUUGGGGGCUACAGAUGUGAGGCGGUGACUGCUUCUGUGGGGAUCAUGGUACCCAGGGGAAGGAAACUCAUGAAGACUAAUUGGAGAGGAGGAAAUUCCCGGCACGCGGAAAGAAACGAUGUCUGUUCACUUCUAAACAGAAGCAGCUUGGUGUCACGUGUGCGACCAGAUCCUGGUCUGAGUCCUGGCGCUGCCACUUGCCGUCUUAACUCCGGGCACAUUUUGUUAACCUUUUUGUCUAUUUCCUCAUUAUACCUCAUAAGGUCGUGAAGUCGUGUGAGAUGCCUGCAGCCGGUAGGAAUGCGGCGCUCCCCUCUGUGCUCUCCACUCCUCCAAAAAGGCAUGGAAACUGAGCGGGGAGGGGUGCCCCAGGUAGAGGGGGAGGUUGCUUGCCCAGAGCAGCAGAGGCCUCACUUGAAAUUAGCGACAUUGUUUACACACUACUCACAAAGUGCUAAAUGCCUUUUACGUGUUUGUUUUCAGAAGCAAUUUAAACACAGACUCCUGGAAUUUUGGUUAUGCCAUUCGUUCAUGCAGCCAGCCACGUCUUCCUGGGGAAAAAGAGGGUAAAAACGAUAAACUCUCUUCAUUUGGAAAUCAAGGCACCACCAUCAUCUGCAUCAUCGCCAGGACUGUGGCAUGGGGUUGGGGCUCUUACUCCAGGC